GGGCGAGUGGUGGAAUUGGUAGACACGUAGCGUUCAGGUCGCUAUGGACGUAAGUCUGUGAGGGUUCAAAUCCCUCCUCGCCCACCA
rnacentral:tRNA from 1 species